UAGGGAAUCUUCCGCAAUGGGCGAAAGCCUGACGGAGCAACGCCGCGUGAGUGAUGAAGGUCUUCGGAUCGUAAAACUCUGUUAUUAGGGAAGAACAAAUGUGUAAGUAACUAUGCACGUCUUGACGGUACCUAAUCAGAAAGCCACGGCUAACUACGUGCCAGCAGCCGCGGUAAUACGUAGGUGGCAAGCGUUAUCCGGAAUUAUUGGGCGUAAAGCGCGCGUAGGCGGUUGUUUAAGUCUGAUGUGAAAGCCCACGGCACAACCGUGGAGGGUCAUUGGAAACUGAAAAACUUGAGUGCAGAAGAGGAAGGUGGAAUUCCAUGUGUAGCGGUGAAAUACGCAGAGAUAUGGAGGAACACCAGUGGCGAAGGAGACUUUCUGGUCUGUAACUGACGCUGCUGUGCGAAAGCGUGGGGAUCAAACAGG
rnacentral:rRNA from 1 species